UACGUAGGGUGCGAGCGUUAAUCGGAAUUACUGGGCGUAAAGCGUGCGUAGGCGGUUCGUUAAGUUCGUUGUGAAAGCCCCGGGCUCAACCUGGGAAUGGCAAUGGAAACUGGCGGGCUGGAGUAUGGCAGAGGGGGGUAGAAUUCCACGUGUAGCAGUGAAAUGCGUAGAGAUGUGGAGGAAUACCGAUGGCGAAGGCAGCCCCCUGGGAUAACACUGACGCUCAUGCACGAAAGCGUGGGGAGCAAACAGG
rnacentral:rRNA from 1 species